rnacentral:tRNA from 1 species
GCCUGAGUGGCUCAGUCAGUUGAGCGUCCGACUUCAGCUCAGGUCAGGAUCUCGUGGUUCAUGGGUUCAAGCCCCAUAUAGGGCU